CCUUUUUUCUUUUUCUUCUCAGAAUACUGAUGAGUUUCUUUGCUGGAGCAUCACAAGGGAUUCUGAUUUUGAUUCUGUUAAAAUUGUGGCCAAGAGCUUCAUGUGCAGAGCUUCACAUGUUAAUUGGUGGAUCAGACAUUAGGAAAGUUAAACAGGACACUGGCAUAAAACUAGUCUCAUUGAACUGUGCAGUUCUUCUGCUAAUGGAGCCAACACAUGAAGAGUUAUCACUUCACUUUUCAUUUGUCCAAAAGAAAACUUGGAAUCCAAAGUGGGCGAAGUUAAUGAAGAAAAUCAUCUGAGAAAAAACGUGUGACUGUUGGGAUAAACUUGAAGUAGGCCAAAAUAGAGAACUUCAUUUGGCAGACAUUCUGGAAACAGAAUGCUUCUGAGCCUUGGGAGUGUCUGAAUGUUCACAAUGAUACUGAACUUCAGGACAUGGAGUGUGGUGGAUGGACUGUAGAAGACUGGCGUUGUGGGUAGGAAGAAAAAGUCAGAGGUUAUGUUGUCACCUCUGUGAACAAUAAUGAAUGUGGAUUAAAGGAGUUGAGUUGACUCUGUCAGCCCUUCUGGAGCCCACAACUGAGCAGGGAUAGCUCAGUGAACAUCAAGCCAGAGUAUGAGAUGUUUCAGAGUGCAGACAGAGGAUGCACCAAGGGGUGUGGUAGGGUGAAGUUUCCAGUGAUGGUGGCUGGGGCAUCCAACUGAGGGAGUUAAAUAAAGGGUUGUAUGGAGUAAAGAGUGUCUGGAUUAGAGAGGCGGAUUGAGUUCAGGACAAGGAUAGAUUCCUUAGAGAAGGCUCCUUUCAAAGACCUAAUUCUGGAAGGAAUUUUCUUGGGGUAGAAUAAAGCAGCAACUAUACUAACUAAAGGUCCCAGUUUCUAUUACACUGGCUGCAAUGUAGACAUAUGUCUACUUCAUACCUCUGAGUCUUUGAUAUGUCGGGUCAGUGAAGGGAUGAAAACUAUUCACCCCAGUUAUAUCAUAGAGCUGUGUGAUGAUUAAUUUUAUGCACCAACCUAGCUAGGCUAUGGUACAAACACAACAGAUGUUGCUGUAAAAAUAUUUUUUAGAUGUGAUUAACAUUUAAGUCAGUAGACUUUGAGGAAAGCAGACUAUCCUCCAUAAUGUGGGCAGGCCUCAUCUAAUCAGUUGAAGGCCUUAAGAAAAAAGGCUGAGAUCUCUAGAAGAGGAAGAAAUUCUGCCUUCAGACUGCCUUUGCACUCAUGACUGUAACACUGAUACCUGCCAGACUUUCCAGCCUGAUACUGCCCCCAUAAUUGCAUUAACCAAUUGCUUAAAACAAAAAUAAAUCUCUCUGUCAUAUACAUAUAUACAUUCUGUUUGUUCUGUUUCUCGGGAGGACCCUAACUAUACAGGCAGGUGAUCAGGUGAUCCUGGAGUAGCACUAACCCCCAUGCCACUUCCUCUGAUUCUCAUUGGGAGCAGUACCAUGAGGAGCCACUGCUGGUUUGCCCUAGCACCAGAUUUCUUUCUUCAAGCCCAAGCCUGAGUAACAGUAAGACUAAACACACAGCUCAUUAAAAUACAUUUCUUCAUUUAGGGGAAGGCAGAACCUGCCUGGGUUGUCUAAGAGCCAUCAUGUACAUGGGAGUGGGGCUAUUAUUUCCCACAGCUGGAUGGGUGCAGCCUUGGCCUUGGAAUUCUGGGGAGUGAGGCUGUGCCCUUUGACUUCAGGCAUACCCUCGACAGCUACACAGGGUGCUGUUAAAACUGUGUGUCUAAGAAGAUGGCUUCACCAUAUUUCCUUUCUUCUUUAUCCAGUCUCCUCACUGGAGAGAUGAUGCAAACAAAGACAUACAGGUUUAUAUUAAAAAUCUUUAGAGGAUGGUGUAUCUGUCUGCUCUCCUCCCAGCUCCCUAGCAACAGCUGUAUCAUCCUUUCAUAAAUCUUUUCAUGGAAAUUUUGGCUUUUCUGCGUAGGUCUGUUUUUACCUCUCGGUAUCUUUCCCCCUGCCUCUCUCUCUCUGCUUCUCCAUCUCCAUCUCCCUCUCUCCCUCUGUCCUUCCCUUUUCCUCCUUUUCCUCUCUUUGUCUCUGUUUCUCUGUAUGCUUCUUUCCUGCUGGUGUGAUCUCCCACAUCAACCACUGUCCCAUUUUUUUGAUUCCUUCUCGGCAACAAGAGUUACAGCACCAUCAUGCAGCAAGCAGUCUUGCUUCCCUGCUACCUUAAAAUAAUAAUGUUUCAUGGUGACAAAUGGUUAUAGUCAACAAUGAAAGUAAAAUGCUUAGCAUACAAGGGUCAGAUUUCUCUGCCCAUCAAAAACAGAGUGGCUUAAGAAUCUCUGAAGAAAGGAAUAUGUACGUAAGGAUAGCUGGUGAUGCUUGCCAAGUGGACACCUCCACUGUUUUAUUCCAAAUUAAGCUUCU